rnacentral:rRNA from 1 species
UAUUGGACAAUGGGGGCAACCCUGAUCUAGCCAUGCCGCGUGUGUGAAGAAGGUCUUUGGAUUGUAAGGCACUUGAAGUUGGGAGGAAGGGCUAUAGGGUAAUACCCUGAAGUGUUGCCGUUACCCACAGAAGAAGCACCGGCUAACUCCGGUCCAGCAGCCGCGGUAAUACAGCGGGUGCAAGCGUUAUACGGAACUACUGGGCGUAAAGCGCGCGUAGGUGGUUCAGUAAGAUGGGUGUGAAAUCCCCGGGCGUAAACUGGGAACUGCUUUCAUAAAUGCUGAGCUAGAGUACUGUAGAGGGUAGUGGAAUUUCCUGGGUAGCGGUGAAAUGCGUAGAUUUAGGAAGGAACACCAGUGGCGAAGGCGACUACCUGGACUGAUACUGACACUGAGGUGCGAAAGCGUGGGGAGCAAAC